AGGGAGUGUACCACGAUACUGAGCCAAAACACUGACAGAUUGACAGCUACAAUUAAGAAUAUGCUUUGUUUUGUCUUCAUGGCAGGGUUGAAUAAAAGACAUCUAUGACUUACGUCAUUAGCCUUCAUUCAGUUUCAAUAUAUAGGCCUUAAUAGAUGUGGAGUGUCACAUAAGGAGAAAGGUUUGCAAUAUCACAGAUGUGAACUGGACUGAAUUAUAAGACACUGAAAUAGUUUAAAACAUUGAAAGCAGAAAGAGAGGGGGAAUUUAUAACUUUUCAUCUUAUUUCUCAUCCUUUUGGAUUCAGAGUAAAAAACGAAAUGGAUGUUGGACGGAUAGUAUCGAUUUUCCUGAUACUGAUAGCCACACCUACGACUGCAGCAACUACAACAGCCGCAGCUACGACUGCUGAACCUACAACAACAGUUGCACCUACAACAGCAGCACCUACAACAACAGCUGCACCUACAACAGCCGCACCUACGACUCAUGCACCUACAACAACUGCUGCCCCAACAACAACUGCUGCCCCAACAACAACAACUGC